rnacentral:lncRNA from 1 species
AUGUCCCCCAUUCACAAUACUCAGAACAGAAUCCCCCCAUUCACAAUACUCAGAACAGAACCACCCCCAUUCACAAUACUCAGAACAGAACCCCCCCCCCAUUCACAAUACUCAGAACAGAACCUACCAUUCACAAUACUCAGAACAGAACCCCUCCAUUCACAACACUCAGAACAGAACCCCCCCAUUCACAAUACUCAGAACAGAACCCCCCCAUUCACAAUACUCAGAACAGAACCCCCAUUCACAAUACUCAGAACAGAACCCCACCAUUCACAACAUUCAGAACAGAACCCCCCAUUCACAAUACUCCGAACAGAACCCCCAUUCACAAUACUCAGAACAGAACCCCCCCAUUCACAAUACUCCGAACAGAACCCCCCCAUUCACAAUACUCAGAACAGAACCCCCUAUUCACAAUACUUAGAACAGAACCCCCUAUUCACAAUACUUAGAACAGAACCCCCCCAUUCACAAUACUCAGAACAGAACCCCCUAUUCACAAUACUUAGAACAAAACACCCCAUUCACAAUACUCAGAACAGAACCCCACCAUUCACAAUACUCCGAACAGAACCCCUAUUCACAAUACUCAGAACAGAACCCCCCCAUUCACAAUACUCAGAACAGAACCCCCCAUUCACAAUACUCAGAACAGAACCCCCAUUCACAAUACUCAGAACAGAACCCCCAUUCACAAUACUCAGAACAGAACCCCCCCAUUCACAAUACUCAGAACAGAACCCCCCCAUUCACAAUACUCAGAACAGAACCCCCCCAUUCACAAUACUCAGAACAGAACCCCCCCAUUCACAAUACUCAGAACAGAACCCCCAUUCACAACACUCAGAACAGAACCCCCCCAUUCACAAUACUCAGAACAGAACCCCUCCAUUCACAAUACUCAGAACAGAACCCCCCCAUUCACAAUACUCAGAACAGAACCCCCCCAUUCACAAUACUCAGAACAGAACCCCCAUUCACAACACUCAGAACAGAACCCCCAUUCACAAUACUCAGAACAGAACCCCCCCAUUCACAAUACUCAGAACAGAACCCCCCAACUAG